rnacentral:rRNA from 1 species
CACCGGCGGCUCGAGUGGUAACCGUUAUUAUUGGGUCUAAAGGGUCUGUAGCCGGCCGGAUAAGUCUCUUGGGAAAUCCAGCAGCUCAACUGUUGGGCUUUCAGGAGAUACUGUCUGGCUCGAGGCCGGGAGAGGUGAGAGGUACUUCAGGGGUAGGGGUGAAAUCUUGUAAUCCUUGAAGGACCACCAGUGGCGAAGGCGUCUCACCAGAACGGACCUGACGGCAAGGGACGAAAGCUAGGGGCACGAACCGGAUUAGAUACCCGGGUAGUCCUAGCCGUAAACGAUACUCGCUAGGUGUCGGCCACGGUGCGACCGUUGUCGGUGCCGUAGGGAAGCCGUGAAGCGAGCCACCUGGGAAGUACGGCCGCAAGGCUGAA